rnacentral:rRNA from 1 species
AAAAUAGAUACCCCGGGGUAGUCCACGCCGUAAAACGAUGAGUGCUAAGUGUUAGAGGGGUUUUCCGCCCCUUUUAGUGCUGCAGCUAACGCAUUAAGCACUCCGCCUGGGGGAGUACGGCCGCAAGGCUGAAACUCAAAGGAAUUGACGGGGGGCCCGCACAAGCGGUGGAGCAUGUGGUUUAAUUCGAAGUAACGCGAAGAACCUUACCAGGUCUUGACAUCCUCUGCCAACCCUAGAGAUAGGGCGUUCCCCUUCGGGGGACAGAGUGACAGGUGGUGCAUGGUUGUCGUCAGCUCGUGUCGUGAGAUGUUGGGUUAAGUCCCGCAACGAGCGCAACCCUUGAUCUUAGUUGCCAGCAUUCAGUUGGGCACUCUAAGGUGACUGCCGGUGACAAACCGGAGGAAGGUGGGGAUGACGUCAAAUCAUCAUGCCCCUUAUGACCUGGGCUACACACGUGCUACAAUGGAUGGUACAAAGAGCUGCGAACCCGCGAGGGUAAGCGAAUCUCAAUAAAGCCAUUCUCAGUUCGGAUUGUAGGCUGA